AGUGAACGCUGGCGGUAGGCCUAACACAUGCAAGUCGAACGGCAGCACAGUAAGAGCUUGCUCUUACGGGUGGCGAGUGGCGGACGGGUGAGGAAUACAUCGGAAUCUACUUUUUCGUGGGGGAUAACGUAGGGAAACUUACGCUAAUACCGCAUACGACCUACGGGUGAAAGCAGGGGAUCUUCGUACCUUGCGCGUUUGAAUGAGCCGUUGUCGGAUUAGCUAGUUGGCGGGGUAAAGGCCCACCAAGGCGACGAUCCGUAGCUGGUCUGAGAGGAUGAUCAGCCAGACUGGAACGGAGACACGGUCGAGACUCCUACGGGAGGCAGAAGUGGGGAAUAUUGGACAAUGGGCGCAAGCCUGAUCCAGCCAUACCGCGUGGGUGAAGAAGGCGUUCGGGUUGUAAAGCCCUUUUGUUGGGAAAGAAAAGCAGCAGGUUAAUACCCCGCUGUUCUGACGGUACCCAAAGAAUAAGCACCGGCUAACUUCGUG
rnacentral:rRNA from 1 species